rnacentral:lncRNA from 1 species
AUAAAUAAUUUUUGUAGCGUGAGAACAAAAUAAAUUCAUACACAUAGUAAUACAGUAAACCAGGUAUUCAAAAUUAUCCUACAGUGGCAUAUGGACCCCGAGAUAACCAAAAGUGUGCAAGAAUGUAGACCUACGAUUUCCAAGGAAGUAAGUCCAAAAGAAAUCCUUGAUGAAAUCGACUGCCUACAGAUUAUCUUGAACCUGAAAUGGUUAAAAAAGAAAGGGUGAGUUUUCAUAAACUCAGUGAGUAAACAAAGUCCGUCAUUAACAUCUAAAGCCGAGUAAAUGGAGACAGUUAACUUUUCAUCAUACCAUAAUCCACAACAUUUUGUACUUGUUUCAAAUCAUAUAAAACAACACAUUUCAUUAUAAUACACAUCACGACUUAUGAUUUUCUUAAAAACUUGGCUCGUGCCAAAAAUCAUACUCGGUGAUACCUUGGCCGAGGCAUUCAACCGAGUCCGCCAAGGUUAUUAAGUUAACAACUACUCAUAAAAACAUAGUUUAGCCAUCCCUUGGCGUUGGCAGAGUUCAUCCUCAAGUGGUGGUUCGGCGUGAAGUGAACUCUAUCGUACCUUAGGAGAUAUCCUUCGCGCCUCUCAUACUAAGGUAAAUAUAACGGGGUUUACCGUGCCCCUCUAAUAGGCUGGUCCACGGAAACCCGCCUACUGCAGUGGCUAAUUAAAUAACCCACCAAUCAAUAAAAUUUUGACAGCAUAACGUGGCUAACAUAAUACUACCCAGCCUGUCAAAGGAAAACAACAGUUUAUAUAUUUCACAACUCAAAAACCCAGCCACAUAUGUCAUCACGUAUCAGUUCAUAAAUCAUCAAUUCCAAACGUAGGUACGUAAACUUAAAUAUAUAGGCAACAUCAAAGGUUGGUCUCCACAUACUCACAUUUUCAAAAACAUUAUUGAAUUGUAAAAUAAGUCAUAAACCUUAUUCCUUAAAUCGAUUAUUAGUCAUAAAACAUAAAAUUCAUUUAGGUUCAAUAUUCUUAAAAUCAUAAAAACGAUUGUAAAAAUACUCUAGAUAGAUAAGAUGAACAGUGGUUACUCACUUUGACGGGAAUUUACAACACUCUUAGUCUUGAUCCUCGGGUGCAA